UACGUAGGGGGCAAGCGUUGUCCGGAAUCACUGGGCGUAAAGCGUGUGCAGGCGGUCGUGCAAGUCGGGCAUGAAAGCCCCUGGCUCAACUAGGGGAAGCUGUCUGAUACUGCAGGACUUGAGGGCUCGAGAGGGCGAUGGAAUUCCGCAUGUAGUGGUGAAAUGCGUAGAGAUGCGGAGGAACACCAGUGGCGAAAGCGGUCGCCUGGCGAGCCCCUGACGCUCAGACACGAAAGCUAGGGGAGCGAACGGG
rnacentral:rRNA from 1 species